AUGAGCAUAGUGACCAUGGAGAGUUUAUCGUUAUAUCUGGUGGCCGUGGGGUCAGCGGCGGCGGUGGUCUGCCUCUGCGUGGCCGCGUGGCGGCGCCGCGUCAGGGAGGUCUUCCGUCAGCAGGGGAUCGACGGCCCUCCGCCGUCGUCGUUCCUGAGGGGUAAUCUCUCGGAGGUGCAGGCGAGGGCGCCGCAGGCCGUUGCGGCGGAGGACGGCGGCGCUGGCCAGUGGGACCUCCACAAGGACGGCUUCGACGACUACUGCAAGAUGAUCUUCCCCUUCUUCCACAAGUGCAGGAAAGCCUACGGUGACACGUAUCUGUACUGGCUCGGGCAGCGGCCGGCGCUGUACGUGACGGACCCGGAGCUGAUCCGGGCAAUCGGACGGUGCGACUCGUUAGACAUGGGCAAGCCGACGUUCCAGCAGAAGGGGCAGGAGCCCUUAUUCGGCGCCGGCGUCCUCAAGGCCAACGGCGCCUGCUGGGCGCGCCAGCGCAAGGUCAUCGCGCCCGAGUUCUACAUGGCCAAAGUCAGGGGCAUGGUGGGGCUCAUGGUCAGUGCGGCGCAGCCGCUUCUGCGCUCGUGGGAAGCCGCCGUCGACGGCGCCAAGGGCGGCAUCGCGGCAGUAGACGUCGACGCCGACAUCCGCAGCUUCUCCUUCGACGUCAUCUCCCGGGCCUGCUUCGGGAACGACCACUCCACGGGGAAGGAGAUCUUCCUCCGGCUCAGGGCGCUGUCCGGGCUCAUGUCCGAUCCCAGCGUCAUGUUCACCGUCCCGUCGCUGAGGUUUCUGCCGACGGAGAAGAACCGGAGGAUCUGGAGGCUCACGCAGGAGAUCCGGUCUUUGAUUCUGGAGAUCGCGAGAGGGCGCCGGGCGGCGACGGGGAUUUCUCCGGGCCCUGACUUCCUGCGGUCCAUCAUCGACAACAGCGGCGACCAGCCGCGGCCGGACGACUUCGUGGUUGACAACUGCAAGAACAUCUACUUCGCAGGCCAGGAGACGACUGCGGUCACCGCCACCUGGUGCCUCAUGCUGCUCGCCGCCCACCCUGAGUGGCAGGAUCGGGCGCGCGCCGAGGUGCUCGAUGUCUGCGGUGGCGCCGCCGGCGCCGCGGCACCAGACUUCGACAUGGUAUCUCGGAUGAAGACGGUGAGCAUGGUGGUGCUGGAGACGCUGCGGCUGUUCCCGCCGUCGUCGUUCGUGGUGCGGGAGACGCUCCGUGAUGUUCGGCUGGGCCAGCUGCUCGCUCCCAAGGGUACCUACUUCUUCGUGCCGGUCUCUACCAUGCACCACGACCCCACCGCCUGGGGCCCGACAGUGCGCCGGUUCAACCCCAACCGGUUCCAGAACGGGGUGGCGGUGGCGUGCAAGCACCCGCAGGCGGCGUUCAUGCCGUUCGGCCUCGGAGCGCGUACCUGCCUAGGCCAGAACCUCGCGAUCGUUGAGGCCAAGACGCUCCUCGCCGUCAUCCUCGCGCGGUUUGCCUUUGCUCUCUCACCGGACUACAGGCACUCCCCGGCGUUCCGGCUCAUCAUCGAGCCGGAGUUCGGGCUGCGCCUCCUCAUACGCCGUGUCGAUGGUUUUACUUGA
rnacentral:rRNA from 1 species